rnacentral:rRNA from 1 species
GACGAACGCUGGCGGCGUGCUUAACACAUGCAAGUCGAACGAUGAAGCCGGAGCUUGCUCUGGUGAAUUAGUGGCGAACGGGUGAGUAACACGUGAGUAACCUGCCCUUGACUCUGGGAUAACUGCGGGAAACUGUAGCUAAUACCGGAUACGACCCUCGGAGGCAUCUCCUGGGGGUGGAAAGAUUUAUCGCUGAAGGAUCGGCCCGCGUCUGAUUAGCUAGUUGGUGGGGUAAUGGCCCACCAAGGCGACGAUCAGUAGCUGGUCUGAGAGGAUGAUCAGCCACAUUGGGACUGAGACACGGCCCAAACUCCUACGGGAGGCAGCAGUGGGGAAUAUUGGACAAUGGGCGCAAGCCUGAUCCAGCCAUGCCGCGUGAGUGAUGAAGGCCUUAGGGUUGUAAAGCUCUUUCGUCCGGGACGAUAAUGACGGUACCGGAAGAAGAAGCCCCGGCUAACUUCGUGCCAGCCGCCGCAGUAA